rnacentral:rRNA from 1 species
AUUGAACGCUGGCGGCAUGCCUUACACAUGCAAGUCGAACGGCAGCACGGGUGCUUGCACCUGGUGGCGAGUGGCGAACGGGUGAGUAAUACAUCGGAGCAUGUCCUGUAGUGGGGGAUAGCCCGGCGAAAGCCGGAUUAAUACCGCAUACGAUCCACGGAUGAAAGCGGGGGACCUUCGGGCCUCGCGCUAUAGGGUUGGCCGAUGGCUGAUUAGCUAGUUGGUGGGGUAAAGGCCUACCAAGGCGACGAUCAGUAGCUGGUCUGAGAGGACGACCAGCCACACUGGGACUGAGACACGGCCCAGACUCCUACGGGAGGCAGCAGUGGGGAAUUUUGGACAAUGGGCGAAAGCCUGAUCCAGCAAUGCCGCGUGUGUGAAGAAGGCCUUCGGGUUGUAAAGCACUUUUGUCCGGAAAGAAAUCCUUGGCUCUAAUACAGUCGGGGGAUGACGGUACCGGAAGAAUAAGCACCGGCUAACUACGUG